rnacentral:ncRNA from 1 species
AGGUAUAAAAGCUAACAUGGUUUUUAUAUUUUUGGUUGAAAUCUCCAGACAUAGUAAGGAUUGAUAGAUUGAGAGCUCUUUCUUGAUUCUAUGGGUGGUGGUGCAUGGCCGUUCUUAGUUGGUGGAGCGAUUUGUCUGGUUAAUUCCAAUAACGAAUGAGACCUCAACCUGCUAACUAGAUACGCGGAAGUUCUCCUUCGGGGCCAGCUUCUUAGAGGGACUAUGGCCGUUUAGGCCAUGGAAGUUUGAGGCAAUAACAAGUCUGUGAUGCCCUUAGAUGUUCUGGGCCACACGCACGCUACACUGAUGCAGUCAACGAGUUUUUCUCCCUGGUUCGAGAGGAUCGGGAAAUCUUCUCAAUUUGCAUCGUGAUGGGGAUAGACCAUUGCAAUUAUUGGUCUUCACCGAGGAAUUCCUAGUAAGCACGUGUCAUCAUCUCGUGUUGACUAUGUCCAUGCCCUUUGUACACACCGCUCGUCACUCCUACCGAUUGAAUGAUCCGGUGAAGUGUUCGGAUCACGUCAACGAGGGUGGUUCGCUACCGACGAUGUCGUGAGAAGUUCACUGAACCUUAUCAUUUAGAGGAAGGAGAAGUCAUAACAAGGUUACCGUAGGUGAACCUGCGGUAGGAUCAUUG